AUUGAACGCUGGCGGCAGGCCUAACACAUGCAAGUCGAACGAGUGGCGGACGGGUGAGUAAUGUCUGAGAAACUGCCUGAUGGAGGGGGAUAACUACUGGAAAAGGUAGCUAAUACCGCAUACCAUCGGAGGUGCCCAGCUGGGAGUAGCUAGUAGGUGGGGGAACGGCUCACCUAGGCGACGAUCCCUAGCUGGUCUGAGAGGAUGACCAGCCACACUGGAACUGAGACACGGUCCAGACUCCUACGGGAGGCAGCAGUGGGGAAUAUUGCACAAUGGGCGCAAGCCUGAUGCAGCCAUGCCGCGUGUGUUAAGAAGGCCUUCGGGUUGUAAAGCACUUUCAGCGGGGAGGCGUUACCCGCAGAAGAAGCACCGGCUAACUCCGUGCCAGCAGCCGCGGUAAUAC
rnacentral:rRNA from 1 species